GGUCUGGUGGUCUAGUGGUAUGAUUCGCGCUUAGGGAUUGCGCGAGGUCCGUAAGUACUAUCAUACAUUCAAAUUUCAACUUGCAAGUCAAUCAAUUCUAACAACAUCACAGCGGGUUCAAUCCCCGGCCAGACCC